UAAUACGGAGGAUCCAAGCGUUAUCCGGAUUCAUUGGGUUUAAAGGGUGCGUAGGCGGAAUGAUAAGUCAGUGGUGAAAUCCUGCAGCUUAACUGCAGAACUGCCAUUGAUACUGUCAAUCUUGAGUAUAUUUGAUGUGGGCGGAAUGUGUCAUGUAGCGGUGAAAUGCUUAGAUAUGACACAGAACACCGAUUGCGAAGGCAGCUCACAAAACUAUAACUGACGCUGAGGCACGAAAGCGUGGGUAUCAAACAGGAUUAGAUACCCUGGUAGUCCACGCUGUAAACUAUGAUUACUCGAUGUUUGCGAUACACAGUAAGCGUCUAAGCGAAAGCGAUAAGUAAUCCACCUGGGGAGUACGCUCGCAAGAGUG
rnacentral:rRNA from 1 species